AGAGUUUGAUCAUGGCUCAGAUUGAACGCUGGCGGUAUGCUUAACACAUGCAAGUCGAACGGUAACAGUCCCUCACCUAGAAAUUUCUUAAAAAGAGAUUUGUAGGUGAGGGAGCUGACGAGUGGCGGACGGGUGCGUAAUGUAUAGGAAUCUGCCUAGUAGUGGGGGACAACUCGGAGAAAUUCGAGCUAAUACCGCAUAAGCCCUACGGGGGAAAACGGGGGAUCUUCGGACCUCGUGCUAUUAGAUGAGCCUAUAUUAGAUUAGCUUGUUGGUGAGGUAAUGGCUCACCAAGGCGACGAUCUAUAGCUGGUCUGAGAGGAUGAUCAGCCACACUGGGACUGAGACACGGCCCAGACUCCUGCGGGAGGCAGCAGUGGGGAAUAUUGGACAAUGGGCGAAAGCCUGAUCCAGCAAUACCGCGUGUGUGAAGAAGGCCUGAGGGUUGUAAAGCACUUUCAAUUGGGAGGAAUACCUAAUAGUUAAUAGCUAUUAGAUUGAC
rnacentral:rRNA from 1 species